CGGCGCCCAGCCCUGAUUGACGUUCAGCCAGGCCAAUCAUAGCCUCAGCGUCUGAGGCGCGCGGACCCGGAGCGCCCAGGGCACGUCCGCGGGUCCCACGGAUGCAAUCUCAGGCGCCGCCGCCCGGGCGGCAGUACGCCUGAGGGGGUCCUCCGUGUGCGCGCCUCCCGCCGCCGGCACUGAAAGGUCUGCACCUGAGCCUGGAUACUUGAACAGAGGCAGACACUGCGGCUCAAAACUCCAAGGGUAGGUGCCUAUUGUGCAGAGUCCGGGAACGCCUGCCUGGAAGAAGAGUUCCGGCGGCUCCCCGAACACUUGGAGAAAGCGCUUGGAUGCAGUUGCAGGCUCUGAGACAAAAAUUGGGAACCUCAGCAUGAGUUUGUCACCUGAAUGAAAUAAAAAAAAUCACGUUGAAGGCUGGGUGCAUGCCUGUAGUCCCAGCUACUCUGGAGGCUGAGUCAGGAGGAUCACUUGAGCCCAGAAGUUCAGGAAUUCAAGACUGGCUUGAGCAACAUAGCAAGACUUCAUUUCAAAACAAACAUAAAAAAACCACCACCUUCAGUAUUUCUUGCCAAAGCAAAGGAGCCAUUCGUUCUUUACGAUGGUCAGAAAAGGAAGCAUCAAGGUCAUCAAAUGAAAAUUUUCAGCAUUUCAGCCUGUUUGCUCAGGGAAAUAUCUGAAUCUAGAAUAUCACAACAUAAGCCAAAACUGCCCCAUUUCUCAUGCCACAUGUCACUCUUAACACAAGGUUACUCAACCUCGAGCAUGGUUGGCAUUUGGGGCUGAAUAAUUCUUUAUUGUAGGGGGCUGUCCUGGGCAUUGUAGGAUGCUCAUGAGCUACCUCAGUCUCUACCACCCACUAGAUAUCAGUAGCAUUGACCCCUGAUCUCUCUACCCAAGUUGUGACAACUAAAACCAUCCCCGGAUAAUGGAGGAACCUUAAAUGCAUAUUGCUAAGGAAAAGCCAAUCUGAAAGGAUUACAUAUCGUAUGAGUCCAACUAUAUGGUAAUCUGGAAAAGGCAAAACCAUGGAGACAGUAAAAAGGUAGUGGUUACCAGUGGUCCAUGGGAAGGGUUGGAUGAAUAGGUGGAGCACAAAGGAUUUUUAAGGCAGUGAAACUAUUCUGAAUGAUACUGUAAUGGUGGAUACAUGUCAUACCUUUGUCAAAACCAAUAAAAUAUAACAACCAAUAAAACAGCACAAAGAGUGAACCCUAAUGUAAACUAUGGACUUAAUAAUGUAUAAAUAUUGGCUCACCAAUUUUAACAAACGUACCACACUAAUGCAAGAUGUUACUGGUAGUGGAAACUGGAGGGAAGAGGGCUUGAGGAGACAUAUGGGAACUCUCUGUAAUUCCUGUUCAGUUUUUCUGUAACUGUUAAACUGUCCAAAAAAAGUCUGUUUUUAUAAAUGGAGGCAUGGUUUUAUAUGGACUAAAAUACUAUGAUUGCCUUUUUAUUUUACACAUGGUGAAAUUAGAGCAGGACAUAUUUUAAACUCAAAAUUCACAAAAUUAAUUUAUGAAAAUGUUCACCCAGAUCAAGAAUAUUAAAGAAACUUAGAUUAAUACUGUUACCUUGAAUUUAUUUUACUGAGUAAUCCUCUAAGACUCCUCUACACAUUAUUAAUCUAGAAGGAUUUUUAAAGUCUUUUUAUGACAAUUAAUUAUUGGUCUACAGUCAAAUUGCGUAUCUCCAUUAAACUAGAGUUAUAUUUUUCCAUUUUCAGAUCCAAAAACUUCUUAGGAAUAGGAAAUGUUUAUUUUAGAAAACAAGAACACUUCUUAAGCAUUUGCUGUUAACAGUUAUUUUCACAUGUGCUUGUACUUAUUUUGCACUUGUCAGAACAUAGUAUUUACCUUUGAACCAAGGGGUUUUUUUUUGUUUUUUUUUAAUUUUAUAAUUAUUAUACUUUAAGUUUUAGGGUACAUGUGCACAAUGUGCAGGUUUGUUACAUAUGUAUACAUGUGCCAUGUUGGUGUGCUGCACCCAUUAACUCGUCAUUUAGCAUUAGGUAUAUCUCCUCAUGCUAUCCCUCCCCCCUCCCCCCACCCCACAACAGUCCCCGGAGUGUGAUGUUCCCCUUCCUGUGUGCAUGUGUUCUCAUUGUUCAGUUCCCACCUAUGAGUGAGAACAUGCGGUGUUUGGUUUUUUGUCCUUGCGAUAGUUUACUGAGAAUGAUGAUUUCCAGUUUCAUCCAUGUCCCUACAAAGGACAUGAACUCAUCAUUUUUUAUGGCUGCAUAGUAUUCCAUGGUGUAUAUGUGCCACAUUUUCUUAAUCCAGUCUAUCGUUGUUGGACAUUUGGGUUGGUUCCAAGUCUUUGCUAUUGUGAAUAGUGCCGCAAUAAACAUACGUGUGCAUGUGUCUUUAUAGCAGCAUGAUUUAUAGUCCUUUGGGUAUAUACCCAGUAAUGGGAUUGCUGGGUCAAAUGGUAUUUCUAGUUCUAGAUCCCUGAGGAACCUCCACACUGACUUCCACAAUGGUUGAACUAGUUUACAGUCCCACCAACAGUGUAAAAGUGUUCCUAUUUCUCCGCAUCCUCUCCAGCACCUGUUGUGAACCAAGGUUUUAUAAUAAGCAAGCACUUUUUUUAAUUUAGAAGUCACAUUUUCCAAGUAGAAAAAUCAUUAAAAAUUCAGUCCUCUGAAGGCUAAUUUCUUUAAAUCAUUUAACCUAAUUAUUUAAGGUAUAGAUUGGAAUUUUUCUCAGCACUCUCUUGAAAACAGGUGACAGUGGAACCCUGUUAGGUUCACAAAUCCUAGACUUUGAUUAUAUAGCCCAGGCUCGAAUUUUUCUCGAAUGUUAUGAACAUUCAAAGCAUUAGGAGUCUUCGUUUCAUUUCUUAAUUUUUUUUCUUCUGGGUAUAUUUGAGACUCAUCUUGGAUUCAAAUAAAUUAAUAAUAGUCUCAUGAAACCGAUAAAAAUGGGAGCUCCAUUGAACAUGAGAGACAUUGAUUCGUAGUUUCUAACAUCCUCCAAAUGAGGAUCCCAUCCCUAAUUUAGAUGCUUCUUUCAAAGGAGGCUUCUUUCCUUUGUUAUCCAUGAUAUAGUCACACCAGUCCUGAAAAAACAUGGAAUAGACCCCAGAUCUUUAUAUUUCAUACUCUAAAGUCAUACAAGCCGAUCUGCAUUUCCUCUAGUGGAAACUGUAUAGCUGGUCAUCUGUCCGGGGCCCUUUUAUCAAGAAACAAUGCAGCUUCUACAUUUGUGCUGCUUCUACACCAAAACAGCUAGAAUCUAUAGGAUAUGGUUCUGGAUGCUCUUGUGUACCUCACUCUUCAUUUCUCACCUAACCCAUGUGCUAUGGUUUGAAUGUUCCUCCCCUGCAAAACUCAUGUCGAAAUGUAAUUGCCAUUGUAACAGUAUUAAUAGGUGGAAUUUUUAAGAGGUGGUUAGGGUGGGAUUGGUGAUGUUAUAAAAGGGUAACUUCAGCCCCUUCUUGCUCUCUCUCUCACCGUUCCACCUUCCUCUGUGCGCUGAUGCAACAAAAAAGUCCUUCCCAGAUGCCAGCAUCUUGAUUUUGGACUUCUCAGCCUACAGAACUAUAAGCCAAUAAAUUUCUGUUAUUUGUUAUUAGUCUGUGAUAUUCUGUUAUAGUAGCACAAAAUGGACUAUGACACCAUGUGUUUGCACAGAAAGAAAAGAAUCUCAUAUGGUAAUUGCCCCUUAAUCUGCAGAGAAUAUGUUCUGAUAUCCUCAGUGGAUGCCUGAAACUGCAGAUAGUACCAAACCAUAUAUAUACUACGGUUUUUUUUCCCCAUACAUACGCAUGUUAAAGUUUAAUUUAUAAGUUAGGCAGAGUAAGGUAUUAACAAUAACUAAUAUUGAAAUAGAAACAUUAUAACGAUGUGCUGUAAUAAAAGUUAUGUGACU